rnacentral:rRNA from 1 species
GAUGAACGCUGGCGGCGUGCCUAAUACAUGCAAGUCGAGCGAAUGGAUUAAGAGCUUGCUCUUAUGAAGUUAGCGGCGGACGGGUGAGUAACACGUGGGUAACCUGCCCAUAAGACUGGGAUAACUCCGGGAAACCGGGGCUAAUACCGGAUAACAUUUUGAACCGCAUGGAUCGAAAUUGAAAGGCGGCUUCGGCUGUCACUUAUGGAUGGACCCGCGUCGCAUUAGCUAGUUGGUGAGGUAACGGCUCACCAAGGCAACGAUGCGUAGCCGACCUGAGAGGGUGAUCGGCCACACUGGGACUGAGACACGGCCCAGACUCCUACGGGAGGCAGCAGUAGGGAAUCUUCCGCAAUGGACGAAAGUCUGACGGAGCAACGCCGCGUGAGUGAUGAAGGCUUUCGGGUCGUAAAACUCUGUUGUUAGGGAAGAACAAGUGCUAGUUGAAUAAGCUGGCACCUUGACGGUACCUAACCAGAAAGCCACGGCUAACUACGUGCCAGCCGCCGCGGAAC